CACACGACUCCCGGCAACGGAUAUCUCGGCUCUCGCAUCGAUGAAGAACGUAGCAAAAUGCGAUACCUGGUGUGAAUUGCAGAAUCCCGCGAACCAUCGAGUUUUUGAACGCAAGUUGCGCCCGAGGCCUUCUGGCUGAGGGCACGUCUGCCUGGGCGUCACGC
rnacentral:rRNA from 1 species